rnacentral:rRNA from 1 species
UACGGGGGGGUAAGCGUUGUUCGGAAUUACUGGGCGUAAAGGGCUCGUAGGCGGCCAACUAAGUCAGACGUGAAAUCCCUCAGCUUAACUGGGGAACUGCGUCUGAUACUGGAUGGCUUGGAUUCGGGAGAGGAAUGCGGAAUUCCAGGUGUAGCGGUGAAAUGCGUAGAUAUCUGGAGGAACACCGGUGGCGAAGGCGGCAUCCUGGACCACGCUGACGCUGAGGAGCGAAAGCCAGGGGAGCAAAGCGGG